CCUCAGUCAGCAGAGACAGGCCCACUGAAAGGGAGAUAACAGCAAGUCCUCACUACUCCCAAAGCUGCAAGACCCAGCCUCAGAGCAGUAUCCCCCAGGAUGAGGGGCUGAUCCAGGAAGACUGCCUGAGAUUCAGACUAGGAGGCAGCGUGGCCCAAGGACAAGAUACUGGGAGGCAGGAGAUCUGGAUUGUAUGCUCGGCUCUGCUACUGCUUUGGGAUAGAAUGAACUGCAUUUGAAAGUACUACCCUUGCUAUGGAUGGCUGUGAAAUUCCACAUUACUAAGGUGAAGAGACAAGAAUAAAAUGGGGGUUUUAAAGAAAGCAAAAA